rnacentral:lncRNA from 1 species
AUGGAGUUUGCAUUGCAUGGUCAGUUGUAUGUAGAUAUACACAAGUAGGUCCAUUGCAUAUGCAUAAAACAGCGGAGAGGACUCAUGUCCUGGAGUACUAGUUGCUCAACAGCGGUGAGGGCUUCGGUCCUGAUGAAUGCUUUAACCAUUCAAAAGCGGUGAGGGCUUCGGUCCUGUUUGGUACCACAUGCAUAUUUGCAUCCAUUGAGAAGUCUAAGGUGUUGUCUUAGCAGUGUUGUCAUGUCAUUUGCAUGAGUCUUAGUUGUUGAUUGUGGUUGUUACUUGAUGAUGAUGAUGUUGUUGGUG